rnacentral:rRNA from 1 species
GCCAGACUCCUACGGGAGGCAGCAGUGGGGGAUAUUGCACAAUGGGGGGAACCCUGAUGCAGCGACGCCGCGUGGGUGAAGGAGUGCUUCGGCAUGUAAAGCCCUAUCGGCAGGGAAGAAGCAAGACGGUACCUGACUAAGAAGCCCCGGCUAACUACGUGCCAGCAGCCGCGGUAAUACGUAGGGGGCAAGCGUUAUCCGGAUUUACUGGGUGUAAAGGGAGCGUAGACGGCGAUGCAAGCCAGAUGUGAAAGCCCGGGGCUCAACCCCGGGACUGCAUUUGGAACUGUGUGGCUGGAGUGUCGGAGAGGCAGGCGGAAUUCCUAGUGUAGCGGUGAAAUGCGUAGAUAUUAGGAGGAACACCAGUGGCGAAGGCGGCCUGCUGGACGAUGACUGACGUUGAGGCUCGAAAGCGUGGGGAGCAAACAGGAUUAGAUACCCUUGUAC